AAAGUAGCAUAUGCCACUGCCAUGGACUGGUUUAUUGCAGUAUGUUAUGCUUUU
rfam:Xenopus laevis strain J chromosome 3S, whole genome shotgun sequence.